GUGCUCGCUUUGGAAGCACAUAUACUAAAACUGGAACGAUACAGAGAAGAUUAGCAGG
rnacentral:sRNA from 1 species